AGAGACAGCAGUCGCCAGGGAACACGUAGGGUGAAAGCGUUAAUCGGAAUUACUGGGCGUAAAGCGUGCGCAGGCGGUUAUAUAAGACAGAUGUGAAAUCCCCGGGCUCAACCUGGGAACUGCAUUUGUGACUGUAUAGCUAGAGUACGGCAGAGGGGGAUGGAAUUCCGCGUGUAGCAGUGAAAUGCGUAGAUAUGCGGAGGAAAACCGAUGGCGAAGGCAAUCCCCUGGGCCUGUACUGACGCUCAUGCACGAAAGCGUGGGGAGCAAACAGGAUUAGAUACCCCUGUAGUCCCUGUCUCUUAUACC
rnacentral:rRNA from 1 species